rnacentral:rRNA from 1 species
GAUGAACGCUGGCGGCGUGCCUAAUACAUGCAAGUCGAGCGAACAGAUAAGGAUCUUGCUCCUUUGACGUUAGCGGCGGACGGGUGAGUAACACGUGGGUAACCUACCUAUAAGACUGGGAUAACUUCGGGAAACCGGAGCUAAUACCGGAUAACAUUUGGAACCGCAGGGUUCUAAAGUGAAAGAUGGUUUUGCUAUCACUUAUAGAUGGACCCGCGCCGUAUUAGCUAGUUGGUAGGGUAACGGCUUACCAAGGCGACGAUACGUAGCCGACCUGAGAGGGUGAUCCGCCACACUGGAACUGAGAGACGGUCCAGACUCCUACGGGAGGCAGAAGUAGGGAAUCUUCGGCGAUGGGCGAAAGCCUGACCGAGCAACGCAGCGUGAGUGAUGAAGGGUUUCGGCUCGUAAAACUCUCUUAGUAGGGAAGAACGAAUGUGUAAGUAACUAUGCAUGUGUUGACGGUACCUAAACAGAAAGCCAGGGCUAACUCCGUG